GUGGAUUAUAAGCCAGUAUUAAUGAACACUUUACAAUUAGUUUAAGAGACAAAUAUAUAAAUAAAUAACUGAAGGCAGCAUAUAAUAAAUUGGUACAAAGUUUUUGGGUGAGAGAUCACACUGUAGGGAUGUGGCAUUUAAGAUAGAUUUUGGUAUGAAAUGAGAACUUCGAGGUGGGGAAACCACAGCAGAGGAAAGGAGAUGAGAAUAUGCAGUGAAGAGGCAGCUUCCAGUCUUUCAUCCAUUAAGGUUUAGGUACUGAUAAAACAUCUGGGUAGAAUUUUUCAGCAGUGAUGGAAAGCUUUGAAAAACAAAACAGAAGAUGUGGAUUUGGGAAUUACCUCCCUAGAAGCAGGAAGAGAUGGCAUCAUCAAGGGAGAGGAGUAUAGAGAGGC
rnacentral:lncRNA from 1 species